rnacentral:sRNA from 1 species
CCCAGGGCUUACGCCCUGGGCUGGUGGAUGUCGCCUCUUCGAGGCU